UGCCCCAGCUCUGCCCGCAGCUAGUGCUCUGGGCUGUGCAGGUUAUUAUCCGAGAGAGGAAAGGGAGAACCACACUCAUGGUGUACAACUGGAGUCCUUUCUAGGAGAAGGCUGCAUCUGUGCCACUGCAGAAGGUUUAUAGGGAGAUUAAGGUCCUUAAGGAGUAAUCGUAAUGAUAUAUUUGGGCGAAUGGAAGCUUGACGAGUGCAGGAUUUCCCUUGGCUGGUUUCCAGCAUCUCCCUGUGAUUGCCAGUUCUUGCAACCAGUACCGCACCCUGAAAAGCCUGAGAGCUGUAUGUGAACCUGAUCAGCACAAUUGUCAUGAAAGUUCAAUCUCUGCUUCCAGCGUGGGACAAUGCCAACUGAUACCUUCCAAGAGGAAGUCUGGGCACAGCUGACAGCAUAUUCUCUUUGGAGACCAGUGCAACAAUCUUGCAGACCAAUGCAAGUCACAUCAAGUUUGUCUUUUUCCACCUGGGAAAGUCUUCCAAUGUUGUCCUGUUAAGCCAUAUACCCUGAAAGGACUUUGUAACUUGACUACCCAACGUGCAACCUGAGUGUCAUGCUAUGCAAGUGGCACAGUGGCAGACUGACGUGGGUAUUUUGAACUAUAAAGCCAUAAACAUUUUUGGUAGUUGUGUCUCAGAAUCAGAAAGACAUUGUGUGAGGCCCCGAGGAGACACAGGCUUAGUGCUGAGCAGUGUGGACAUGUCUCCUUGAUGAAGCCUAUAGGGAUAAACAUGGCCUGUAAUGCAGACGGUAUCAGCUGCAUUAGUGCACAAAAUACUGCAGAAGAGGAGUUAGAAUCAUCCUGUACUGUUUGAAGGUCUGCACUGAUAAAGGACAAAUUAAAUGGCAAACCUUGGGGAAAAAAACGAUCUGAUUAUAGAUGAAAACUGAAACAAGCGUUAAUUAACAAUCUUUAGAACCAAUAUGUUUUUAACAUUGAAUAAAAGAAAUGCCAUCCGUGGGAAUGUUCAGUGUGUUGGAUAACACAGAGUGUAACUCACCGGGGCUCCAUCAAUCCAUUUCAGUCUCCUGGGAAUCAAGCUCUGCACAUCCUCCAGUAGAAUUCACUGUUUUAGUGUGACUUCAGACAAGAAAAGCACUUCUAGACUGUUCAUUUCACAGUGCUCAGGUACCUGUAGACUAGAGGACGCACUGAAAGGCAAACCUGUAUCCUUCCUAGCAGGCACUCAGGUGUUCAUGCUGUAUACACAAACCCAGACACACUUUCUCUUUUCUUCUAAGACAGUUGAGAGAUACAUGUAUCUGACGUUUUCAUUUCAUCUUAAAUAUAACUGAAACACCCCUAAAGCUAAGCUUUCUCUUGGGUAUUCCUAGAUGUUUCCUCUUACAGAAAUUCCUUUCUAAGCCUUUUUCUUCCUUAAAUGCUAGGCUUUCUGCGCUGGUGUUAUAUUCCUUAUGUAACACCAGCACUAUUCGUGCACAUAGGGUACACACAGUGCUUGCCUGGUAAGUUUCCACAUGACUCACUCCACUUGAGAGUUGUUUCUAGCUGUUUUUCUUAGAGGGAACCUGCUGUCCCCAGUCUAUUAAGUAUGAGAAUCUGGCCCAUAGAUAAAGUAGACCAAGAAUAUGUCCUAGAAUGUCACACCAGAGAGGAAAACAUCAUGCUAGGGAUUCCCUGAAGGUGCUCCUGCUGAAUUCUUUUCUCUUUUCACUGCUUAAUGGACAGAAGACAAGCAAAAUUGGAAGGAAGAACCUAGUCGCUUCAACUGGCAAGUCAUACCUGGUACUGACCUCUGCAAAGUGUGGCACUUAAGUAAACGAUGAGCUUGCAUGUUGUUAGUCCCAGAGGAGUAAGUGCAACUUGUGUUAGAGCUUUGGUCCUAGGCAGACAGAUAGAUUGCUGAGCUAGCUCUGUUAACAAAUUAGGAAAAAAUAGCACUGGGUCUUGCUGAUGCUCAGUGAAAAUAAAGGUAACAUUAUCUCAAGGAAUCCGCUGGGUAUGUCCCCUUGGAGAAUCCUCCUGUAAAAGUUCCCCACCUGAGCUGGCUGCAGAACUGGACAAGUUGACAAGAAUUUCUCUUCUGCUUCUCUGGGUAGGGAAAGCUCUAGACUGGUGAUGGGGAAUCUCCAGCUCCCGGUGCCCUCAAACUGGCACCUUCCCUGAUUAUUGAAUUCACUUGAAGACAAAAGAA